GAUGGGAGCUUGCUCCCUGAUGUUAGCGGCGGACGGGUGAGUAACACGUGGGUAACCUGCCUGUAAGACUGGGAUAACUCCGGGAAACCGGGGCUAAUACCGGAUGGUUGUCUGAACCGCAUGGUUCAGACAUAAAAGGUGGCUUCGGCUACCACUUACAGAUGGACCCGCGGCGCAUUAGCUAGUUGGUGAGGUAACGGCUCACCAAGGCGACGAUGCGUAGCCGACCUGAGAGGGUGAUCGGCCACACUGGGACUGAGACACGGCCCAGACUCCUACGGGAGGCAGCAGUAGGGAAUCUUCCGCAAUGGACGAAAGUCUGACGGAGCAACGCCGCGUGAGUGAUGAAGGUUUUCGGAUCGUAAAGCUCUGUUGUUAGGGAAGAACAAGUGCCGUUCAAAUAGGGCGGCACCUUGACGGUACCUAACCAGAAAGCCACGGCUAACUACGUGCCAGCAGCCGCGGUAAUACGUAGGUGGCAAGCGUUGUCCGGAAUUAUUGGGCGUAAAGGGCUCGCAGGCGGUUUCUUAAGUCUGAUGUGAAAGCCCCCGGCUCAACCGGGGAGGGUCAUUGGAAACUGGGGAACUUGAGUGCAGAAGAGGAGAGUGGAAUUCCACGUGUAGCGGUGAAAUGCGUAGAGAUGUGGAGGAACACCAGUGGCGAAGGCGACUCUCUGGUCUGUAACUGACGCUGAGGAGCGAA
rnacentral:rRNA from 1 species